UGACUUUGUAAUUUCUGCCUUGAAAAUGCAAGCAGAUGGUGUCUAUGGAGGAAUUUCACUUUUCUCCAUAAGGAUAGAGGCACUGCCAAUGCUGGAAGAGUACCUGAGCCAAGAUGGGGACUCCAGAAUCAUGGAGGAGUGGAUGAUCCUGAAUGGUCCUAUUCUGAGUCCAACACAUGUUUCAUAGCAUCUUACAC
rnacentral:lncRNA from 12 species